AGUGAACGCUGGCGGUAGGCCUAACACAUGCAAGUCGAACGGCAGCACAGUAAGAGCUUGCUCUUACGGGUGGCGAGUGGCGGACGGGUGAGGAAUACAUCGGAAUCUACUUUUUCGUGGGGAUAACGUAGGGAAACUUACGCUAAUACCGCAUACGACCUACGGGUGAAAGCGGGGGAUCUUCGGACCUUGCGCGAUUGAAUGAGCCGAUGUCGGAUUAGCUAGUUGGCGGGGUAAAGGCCCACCAAGGCGACGAUCCGUAGCUGGUCUGAGAGGAUGAUCAGCCACACUGGAACUGAGACACGGUCCAGACUCCUACGGGAGGCAGCAGUGGGGAAUAUUGGACAAUGGGCGCAAGCCUGAUCCAGCCAUACCGCGUGGGUGAAGAAGGCCUUCGGGUUGUAAAGCCCUUUUGUUGGGAAAGAAAAGCAGCAGGUUAAUACCCCGCUGUUCUGACGGUACCCAAAGAACUAGCACCGGCUAACUUCGUG
rnacentral:rRNA from 1 species